rnacentral:rRNA from 1 species
AGAGUUUGAUCCUGGCUCAGGACGAACGCUGGCGGCACGCUUAACACAUGCAAGUCGAACGAGAGAAGAGGAGCUUGCUUUUCUGAUCUAGUGGCGGACGGGUGAGUAACACGUGAGCAAUCUGCCUUUCAGAGGGGGAUACCGAUUGGAAACGAUCGUUAAUACCGCAUAACAUAAUUGAACCGCAUGAUUUGAUUAUCAAAGAUUUAUCGCUGAAAGAUGAGCUCGCGUCUGAUUAGCUAGUUGGUAAGGUAACGGCUUACCAAGGCGACGAUCAGUAGCCGGACUGAGAGGUUGAUCGGCCACAUUGGGACUGAGACUCGGCCCAGACUCCUACGGGAGGCAGCAGUGGGGAAUAUUGCACAAUGGAGGAAACUCUGAUGCAGCGAUGCCGCGUGAGGGAAGAAGGUUUUAGGAUUGUAAACCUCUGUCUUCAGGGACGAAAAAAGACGGUACCUGAGGAGGAAGCUCCGGCUAACUACGUGCCAGCAGCCGCGGUAAUACGUAGGAAGCGAGCGUUGUCCGGAAUUACUGGGUGUAAAGGGAGCGUAGGCGGGAUCGCAAGUCAGAUGUGAAAACUAUGGGCUUAACCCAUAAACUGCAUUUGAAACUGUGGUUCUUGAGUGAAGUAGAGGUAAGCGGAAUUCCUAGUGUAGCGGUGAAAUGCGUAGAUAUUAGGAGGAACAUCAGUGGCGAAGGCGGCUUACUGGGCUUUAACUGACGCUGAGGCUCGAAAGCGUGGGGAGCAAACAGGAUUAGAUACCCUGGUAGUCCACGCCGUAAACGAUGAUUACUAGGUGUGGGGGGACUGACCCCUUCCGUGCCGCAGCAAACGCAAUAAGUAAUCCACCUGGGGAGUACGACCGCAAGGUUGAAACUCAAAGGAAUUGACGGGGGCCCGCACAAGCAGUGGAGUAUGUGGAUUAAUUCGAAGCAACGCGAAGAGCCUUACCAGGUCUUGACAUCGUAUGCAUAGCUCAGAGAUGAGUGAAAUCUCUUCGGAGACAUAUAGACAGGUGGUGCAUGGUUGUCGUCAGCUCGUGUCGUGAGAUGUUGGGUUAAGUCCCGCAACGAGCGCAACCCUUACUGUUAGUUGCUACGCAAGAGCACUCUAGCAGGACUGCCGUUGACAAAACGGAGGAAGGUGGGGAUGACGUCAAAUCAUCAUGCCCCUUAUGACCUGGCCUCACACGUACUACAAUGGCUGUCAACAGAGGGAAGCAAAGCCGCGAGGUGGAGCGAACCCCUAAAAGCAGUCUUAGUUCGGAUUGUAGGCUGCAACCCGCCUACAUGAAGUCGGAAUUGCUAGUAAUCGCAGAUCAGCAUGCUGCGGUGAAUACGUUCCCGGGCCUUGUACACACCGCCCGUCACGCCAUGGGAGUCGGUAACACCCGAAGCCUGUAGUCUAACCGCAAGGAGGACGCAGUCGAAGGUGGGAUUGAUGACUGGGGUGAAGUCGUAACAAGGUA